UACGGAGGAUGCAAGCGUUAUCCGGAUUUAUUGGGUUUAAAGGGUGCGCAGGUUGUUUGAUAAGUCAGUGGUGAAAGUCUGUCGCUUAACGGUAGGAUUGCCAUUGAUACUGUUGGACUUGAAUAUGGAUGAGGUAGGCGGAAUGUGUAGUGUAGCGGUGAAAUGCAUAGAUAUUACACAGAACACCGAUUGCGAAGGCAGCUUACUAAUCCAUCAUUGACGCUGGGGCACGAAAGCGUGGGGAUCAAACAGGA
rnacentral:rRNA from 1 species